rnacentral:rRNA from 1 species
GACGAACGCUGGCGGCGUGCUUAACACAUGCAAGUCGAACGGAGAGGCCCUGCUUUUGUGGGGUGCUCGUGUGGCGAACGGGUGAGUAACACGUUAGUAACCUGCCCUUGACUUUGGGAUAACUUCAGGUAACUGGGGCUAAUACCGGAUAGGAGCUCCUGCUGCAUGGUGGGGGUUGGAAAGUUUCGGCGGUUGGGGAUGGACUCGCGGCUUAUCAGCUUGUUGGUGGGGUAGUGGCUUACCAAGGCUUUGACGGGUAGCCGGCCUGAGAGGGUGACCGGCCAAAUUGGGACUGAGAUACGGCCCAGACGCCUACGGGAGGAAGAAGGGGGGAAUAUUGAAAAAUGGGCGGAAGCCUGAUGCAGCAACGCCGAGUGCGGGAUGACUGCCUUCGGGUGGUAAACCGCUUUCGCCUGUGACGAAGCGUGAGUGACGGUAAUGGGUAAAGAAGCAACGGCUAAAUACGUG